GAUGAACGCUGGCGGCGUGCCUAAUACAUGCAAGUCGAGCGAACGGACGAGAGGCUUGCUUCUCUGAUGUUAGCGGCGGACGGGUGAGUAACACGUGGAUAACCUACCUAUAAGACUGGGAUAACUUCGGGAAACCGGAGCUAAUACCGGAUGAUAUUUUGAACCGCAUGGUCCAAAAGUGAAAGACGGUCUUGCUGUCACUUAUAGAUGGAUCCGCGCUGCAUUAGCUAGUUGGUAAGGUAACGGCUUACCAAGGCAACGAUGCAUAGCCGACCUGAGAGGGUGAUCGGCCACACUGGAACUGAGACACGGUCCAGACUCCUACGGGAGGCAGCAGUAGGGAAUCUUCCACAAUGGGCGAAAGCCUGACGGAGCAACGCCGCGUGAGUGAUGAAGGUCUUCGGAUCGUAAAACUCUGUUAUUAGGGAAGAACAUAUGUGUAAGUAACUGUGCACAUCUUGACGGUACCUAAUCAGAAAGCCACGGCUAACUACGUG
rnacentral:rRNA from 1 species